CGCGCAGGUGGUUUCUUAAGUCUGAUGUGAAAGCCCACGGCUCAACCGUGGAGGGUCAUUGGAAACUGGGAGACUUGAGUGCAGAAGAGGAUAGUGGAAUUCCAAGUGUAGCGGUGAAAUGCGUAGAUAUUAGGAGGAACACCAGUGGUGAAGGCGGAUUGCUGGACGACAACUGACGGUGAGGCGCGAAAGCGUGGGAGCAAACA
rnacentral:rRNA from 1 species